rnacentral:misc_RNA from 1 species
AAGAGACGUUGCCCUUCGGGGUAUACCUCCCACCCUUUGUUUAUUAUACCUUUGUUGCUUUGGCGGGCCCGUCCUCGGACCACCGGCUUCUGCUGGUCAGUGCCCGCCAGAGGACCUAAAACUCUGUUUGUAAUAUUGUCUGAGUACUAUAUAAUAGUUA